GACGAACGCUGGCGGCGUGCUUAACACAUGCAAGUCGUACGGUAAGGCCCUUUCGGGGGUACACGAGUGGCGAACGGGUGAGUAACACGUGAGUAACCUGCCCACAACUUUGGGAUAACGCUAGGAAACUGGUGCUAAUACUGGAUAUGUGCUCCUGCUGCAUGGUGGGGGUUGGAAAGCUCCGGCGGUUGUGGAUGGACUCGCGGCCUAUCAGCUUGUUGGUGGGGUAGUGGCCUACCAAGGCGGCGACGGGUAGCCGGCCUGAGAGGGUGACCGGCCACAUUGGGACUGAGAUACGGCCCAGACUCCUACGGGAGGCAGCAGGGGGGAAGAUUGCACAAUGGGCGCAAGCCUGAUGCAGCAACGCCGCGUGCGGGAUGACGGCCUUCGGGUUGUAAACCGCGUUCAGCAGGGACGAAGCUUUUUGUGACGGUACCUGCAGAAGAAGCACCGGCUAACUACGUG
rnacentral:rRNA from 1 species